rnacentral:rRNA from 1 species
CUCCGUGUGGUGAACAGCGGAGGGNCAUUA